AAUUCACUGAUCUAUUUUUGAUUGUGGGGUCCCAGUGUCUGUGAAAGAUAUGAAAUCAUCUACAGACUUUUUAAGGGAAUAACUUUCCACUGUGAGAACAUAAUUCCACACAUGAACACGCUGCUGGAGACCAUUAUUUUUACAAUCUCUGAGAGCAAUAUGUAUUGUGUAAAUUGGACUUUUGUUCUGGAGGAACCCUGGUAAGAGCACAGUACUUUCUCCAGCAAAAGGCCUAGACAGCAUAGGUCAAUCUAUUGCAUGGCUGACUGAGUUGCACUUGUUUCGACCCAGGAAAUCCUUCACUAAGGAGAAGGAGCCACUUUGGAAUAUCCAUUGCUCAGUCUAAAGGAUGUAAUUACAACCUCUCAAAUGGAAUAAUUAGCCCCUCAUUUUCAACACGUUCAGUUUUUGCAUAAUACACAGGAACCUGCAGUUGAACCAAAUUAAAUCCCUUUGAGAGCUGGAGAGUAGUAGCCAGGAUUAAAAAGCUCCAUUUGAGAGUCAAGGUGUUUCAAUAUGCAAGAGUUAAAGAUGAAUAUAAAAUAACGUAGUGAGGUUUAUUAUGUGUUGACAACAAAGAAUUGCAUUGUUUCUGGUAUUUUAAUCUGCAUCUGUUCUAUGUCAUAGUUUUUAUUCUUUCAUGCAUCAUUCUUAGAGCAGAUAAUUAAGAACCAACAUACAAAAUAACAGCUGCUUUUGUUUCCUCAAAACAUUUCUCAUUUCCUGGCAAUCUCAUAGUUUCUGAAUAAAUUUCAAACUGUGCAUAAUUAAAACCAUGUUUAUUUAAUGGCAUAAUAAUAACAACAGCAGACUGCUCACAGUUUUGUCGGAAAACCGGAUUUCUCAUUCCUUCCUUUACUACUGAAGCCAUGAGAAACACCUACAGAUUAAUUAACCAGCCAGUGGAAGAAAACUAUUCCAGAGGAACAUCAGGCUGUGAAUAAACACAAAAAUCAAUAGUGGUGGAAAUGAAAUAAGAAAACAGCUAAAUAAAGGUACAAACUGAUAAAUGAUCGCGCUGUGCAGGCUGAUAAAAAUCAGAGGCCAUUUGAAUUCUCAUUAUACCUUCAAAGUCUUUCCAAUCGCCCGUCCUGACUCAAUUAAGGAACAACAUGUCACAGGACCCCUGCGUCAGUCUGUCUCGUUUACUGAUAACCCCACUGGCCCGCGUGCUUGAUUUGGGUGACCACAACAUCAGUGUCAACAAAUACAGCCACGAAUGGCUCCACAUUUGUUGGAACACAUCCAUAGUUUUAGAAUUUUUAACAAGAUCAUCACAUUUUAUUACUUCAUAUGCAUUUAAUUUUUGUCUUGUGUGCUACGUGUGAGGAAAAGAGGCUCUAAUCCAUUAUCUAGUCCACGUUAUGUCUUCAAAUAAUGAACAUGUCAUUUUAUUUGAUGUGCUUCACUAAGCAUAACUCGUGAGAUCUGACGCUUGUUAACAGUACAAAGACAAAAAUAAUAUAUCCAAGUUUCCCCAGAGUGUAAAAAAAAAAAGAAAAAUUAAAGGUCUGACAUUGAAGAUUUUUUUUUAAGAACUCAUAGCAGGGUUUUCCAAGUGCACAUUUUGUCCUGUGUUUUCCUGAGCGCGCAUGUCGGUUAGCAGUCCCUGUGGCUAUCAGUAGGAAUCUACUUGCCAAACAAACGCCGGCACCAGCAUGGCGGACAGAUUCACCUCAGCAGGCGCCACUCUACCAGUUUUUUUGCCCCCAGUCGAGGACAUUGCCCCCGUCUGUCUCUGUUUCAUCAUCAUACCCUACUGCUGUCCCCAUCCAUUUCUCACCCCUCCUCCCCCUUGCUCCUACAUGCUUUAUAGGCUGCUGUAAGACAAUCCAUACAUUAUAUCUGCCAGCUGCCAAAGCCAUCACACAAAAACAGUGCCCCUCGACGCAGUCAACUGUUUCCCUAAAUAUGUUUUCUCUCAAAACUGGGUCACGAGUGAACCAGUGUUGGGACAUCAAGCAGGGGGGAGGAGUAUGGAGUACAGGUUAAUGGGUUGCUGGUCAAUGCAGGGACUUCCCCUGUCAGUGUGGAAUGAGAGGCAGGUUACAAUAUGCUGCUGGAACUUCCGAAAUUUCAAUUUUGUCUCUCAGAGGUACCUUCAGAUACAACACAUGGGGGGAAAACCAGCUUAACACUGAGUAUUAUUUCAGCUUUGCCUGACUCGAUUCAGAAAGCUUUCGUGGGGUGAAGAAGGAAAACAGACAGACGGAGAGAGACUACGCAUGUCCCAAUCAGAGAGCCAUUGACAUGUCGAAGAGGUUAACAAGUGAGGAGCGGAUCGAAA